rnacentral:SRP_RNA from 1 species
AAUCGGGUCCUGCGCGGCAGAUGUCUAUGAACCCCGCUAGGUCCGUGAGGAAGCAACGGUAAAUGGGCCUCUCUGGGUGACGUAGGGGAGCCUGAUUGCG